CUUGUGUACAACAGGCUGUGACAUCGUUUGCAUGUUGUGUUGUUCUAUGUGCAUGUCUGUGUUGGCAGCGGCUCUGCCUAUUUUCCCGCUCCGCAUGUCACGUGAUUCCAUGGGGUGACGCGGCGUUCUCUGCGCAUGAGCAGGGCACUCCGGAAGAGAGCAGUUCGCGGUAUGGUGGGGUAGAAGUUUUCUAGUUAUAGUUGAAGCAAGUAAAAAAGCCGAGUUCAUGACCAAAAGGUAAGCCCUAGAUCGUUGUUGUCGUAUAAUAAGUAUAUUUGUUUGUAUUUGUUGCCAUCGUGUCAGUUCGGGUCCUUGUAUGGCACUCUGAGCGGAUUCGCGGACGAGAGACACUUUCCUGUUGCCGCCAUUCCUGUUCCUCAUUUCGAUCACUAGAGGUCUCCCCAGACCAUCCGAUUGCCCACAUUACGAUGAGUGUCAUUAAGAUAAGUAUAAUGCGGCCACUCGUAGCGUUAGAAUUCAACUAUACUCCGCAAUCAUUCCGCAAUUCUAUCAAUCUGCAAUUCUAUUAUGACCUUCAAUCCUGCUACUCAAUAAACCUGUCCAUCCCUCCA